rnacentral:rRNA from 1 species
GAUGAACGCUGGCGGCGUGCCUAAUACAUGCAAGUCGAGCGAACAGAUGAGGCGCUUGCUCCUUUGACGUUAGCGGAGCAGGGGUGAGAAACACGUGUAUAACCUACCUGUAAGUCUGGGAUAACUUCGGGAAACCGGAGCUAAUACCGGAUAAGAUACUGCACCGCAUUGGUCAUUGGUGAAAUACGGUUUUGCGGUCUCUUAUAGAUGCAUCCGCGCCGGAUUAGCUAGUUGGUAAGGUAAAGGCCUACCAAGGCAACGAUGCGUAACCGAGCUAAGGGGGUGGUCGGCCACACUGGAGCUGGGACACGGUCCAGACUCCUACGGGAGGCAGCAGUAGGGAAUCUUACGCAGUGGUCGAAAGCCUGACGGAGCAACGCCGCGUGAGUUAUGAAGGUCUUGGGAUCGUAAAACUCUGUUAUUGGGUAAAAACAAAUGUGGAAGUUACUAUGCACGGCUUGACGGUACCUAGUCAGAAAGCCCCGGCUAACUACGUG